UAUUGGUCAAUGGGCUUACGCCUGAACCAGCCAAGUCGCGUGAGGGAAGACUGCCCUAUGGGUUGUAAACCUCUUUUGUCAGGGAGCAACGCCGGCUACGUGUAGCCGGACUGAGAGUACCCGGAGAAAAAGCAUCGGCUAACUCCGUGCCAGCAGCCGCGGUAAUACGGAGGAUGCGAGCGUUAUCCGGAUUUAUUGGGUUUAAAGGGUGCGUAGGCGGGCUGUUAAGUCAGCGGUCAAAUGUCGGGGCUCAACCCCGGCCUGCCGUUGAAACUGGCGGCCUCGAGUGGGCGAGAAGUAUGCGGAAUGCGUGGUGUAGCGGUGAAAUGCAUAGAUAUCACGCAGAACUCCGAUUGCGAAGGCAGCAUGCCGGCGCCCUACUGACGCUGAGGCACGAAAGCGUGGGUAUCG
rnacentral:rRNA from 1 species